AGAGUUUGAUCAUGGCUCAGGAUGAACGCUGGCGGUCUGCUUAACACAUGCAAGUCGAACGAAUUCCUUCGGGAAUUAGUGGCGGACGGGUGAGUAACGCGUGAGAAUCUGCCUUUUGGUCGGGGACAACCACUGGAAACGGUGGCUAAUACCGGAUAAGCCUGCGGGUAAAAGAUUAAUUGCCAAGAGAAGAGCUCGCGUCUGAUUAGCUAGUUGGUGAGGUAAAGGCUCACCAAGGCGGCGAUCAGUAGCUGGUCUGAGAGGAUGAUCAGCCACACUGGGACUGAGACACGGCCCAGACUCCUACGGGAGGCAGCAGUGGGGAAUUUUCCGCAAUGGGCGAAAGCCUGACGGAGCAAGACCGCGUGAGGGAGGAAGGCUCUUGGGUUGUAAACCCCUUUUCUCUGGGAAGAAAGUUGUGAAAGCAACCUGACGGUACCAGAGGAAUCAGCAUCGGCUAACUCCGUGCCAGCAGCCGCGGUAAUACGGAGGAUGCAAGCGUUAUCCGGAAUUAUUGGGCGUAAAGCGUCCGCAGGUGGCACUUCAAGUCUGUCGUCAAAGACCGGGGCUUAACCCUGGAAAGGCGAUGGAAACUGAAAGGCUAGAGAGAGGUAGGGGUAGAGGGAAUUCCCAGUGUAGCGGUGAAAUGCGUAGAGAUUGGGAAGAACAUCGGUGGCGAAAGCGCUCUACUGGACCUCAUCUGACACUCAGGGACGAAAGCUAGGGGAGCGAAUGGGAUUAGAUACCCCAGUAGUCC
rnacentral:rRNA from 1 species